rnacentral:rRNA from 1 species
AGAGCGAACGCUGGUCCCCAGGCUUAACAAAUGCAAGUCGAACGGUUGUAGCAAUACACCAGUGGCGCACGGGCCAGUAACACGUGGAUAUCUGCCUUUUGGUUCGGAAUAACCCUGGGAAACUAGGGCUAAUACCGAAUGGUUCCUACGGGAUAAAGAUUUAUCGCCAAAAGAUGAGUCCGCGUCCGAUUAGCUAGUUGGCGGGGUAAUGGCCCACCAAGGCAACGAUCGGUAGCUGGUCUGAGAGGACGAUCAGCCACACUGGGACUGACACACGGCCCAGACUCCUACCGGAGGCCGCAGUGGG